CCUACGGGUGGCAGCAGUGAGGAAUAUUGGUCAAUGGACGUAAGCCUGAACCAGCCAAGUAGCGUGAAGGAUGACUGCCCUAUGGGUUGUAAACUUCUUUUGUCAGGGAAUAACGCGCGUUACGUGUAGCCUGUUGCAUGUACCCUAUGAAUAAGGACCGGCUAAUUCCGUGCCAGCAGCCGCGGUAAUACGGAAGGUCCGGGCGUUAUCCGGAUUUAUUGGGGUUAAAGGGAGCGUAGGUGGGAUGGCCAGGUAGUUGUGAAAUUUGCGGGCUCAACCCUCGCAUUGCAGUUGAAACUGGCGGUCUUGAGUGCGCGUGAGGUAGGCGGAAUGCGUGGUGUAGCGGUGAAAUGCUUAGAUAUCACGAAGAACCCCGAUUGCGAAGGCAGCAUAC
rnacentral:rRNA from 1 species